UGGGGAAUAUUGCACAAUGGGCGCAAGCCUGAUGCAGCCAUGCCGCGUGUAUGAAGAAGGCCUUCGGGUUGUAAAGUACUUUCAGCGGGGAGGAAGGGAGUAAAGUUAAUACCUUUGCUCAUUGACGUUACCCGCAGAAGAAGCACCGGCUAACUCCGUGCCAGCAGCCGCGGUAAUACGGAGGGUGCAAGCGUUAAUCGGAAUUACUGGGCGUAAAGCGCACGCAGGCGGUCUGUCAAGUCGGAUGUGAAAUCCCCGGGCUUAACCCGGGAAUUGCAUCUGAUACUGGUCAGCUAGAGUCUUGUAGAGGGGGGUAGAAUUCCAGGUGUAGCGGUGAAAUGCGUAGAGAUCUGGAGGAAUACCGGUGGCGAAGGCGGCCCCCUGGACAAAGACUGACGCUCAGGUGCGAAAGCGUGGGGAGCAAACAGG
rnacentral:rRNA from 1 species